GACGAACGCUGGCGGCGUGCUUAACACAUGCAAGUCGAACGGAAAGGCCCUGCUUUUGUGGGGUGCUCGAGUGGCGAACGUGUGAGUAACACGUGAGUCACCUUCCCUUUACUUUGGGAUAACUUCAGGCAACUGGUGCUAAUACCUGAUAGGAGCUCCUGCUGCAUGGUGGGGGUUGGACAUUUUAGGCGGUUGGGGAUGGACUCGCGGCUUAUCAGCUUGUUGGUGGGGUAGUGGCUUACCAAGGCUUUGACGGGUAGCCGGCAUGAGAGGGUGACCGGCCACAUUGGGACUGAGAGACGGACAAGACUCCUACGGGAGGCAGCAGGGGGGAAUAUUGAACAGUGGGCGGAAGCCUGAUGCAGCAAUGUCGCGUGCGGGAUGAAGGCCUUCGGGUGGUAAACCGCUUUCGCCUGUGACGAAGCGUGAGUGACGGUAAUGGGUAAAGAAGCACCGGCUAACUACGUG
rnacentral:rRNA from 1 species